rnacentral:lncRNA from 1 species
UUUGCUCUUCAUUUCAACAUGUCUUUUCCUCUUACUCUUUGUGAUUUUCACUUGAUCCUUUUGAGUUUUGAUUCCAAAGUUCUUAAGAGACAGAGAUCCUAUUGGCUGGUGCAAGACCAUAGCAGUUGUGUGUGUGUGUGUGUGUGUGUGUGAGAGAGAGAGAGAGAGAGAGGGAGAGGGAGAGGGAGAGGGAGAGGGAGAGGGAGAGCGCUGAGUCACUGUCUCCCAUUUCUGGCUUCGCUUCUCACAUCCACAACCCAUGUGCUCUACUUCCAUUUUUUCCUCUCAUUCCUGUUCCAAGCACAUCUGAAGGGCCCUCCAGACUAAGACUCCACCAUGAGCACCUUUCACCUUGCACUUCCCCGACCCUGCUUCCCUUGUCCAGGACUACCAACAGGAUGCUGGACCAGGCUGAGCUGGACAGCCAUAGCCAGGUAGCCAGUUGGAUCCCUCUCCAGUGAUAACAAAGGUCUGGAGUCUCAGAGGGCUUUUCCUAGGACAAGACGUACCUCCAGAUCAAGAAAUUAUUUCAGCUGUGGCAUGAUCAACAAGUUCUGGAGCGGAAGGAAACCUUUCUAAACCACAAAUAACAAAAAACAUCUAUCUAUUAUGUCAGAAGACAAAGUUGUCUUUCUAUUCUCUGUACAUAAAAUGGCAUUGUAAAAUUUUUACCAUGUGAAAAAAGAUCAAUGAGUAUAACGCCAAAAAUAUAGGGAAAAGAUGUAUUACAUAGAUGGGUCAGCACUUAAGUUGUAAUUGUAGCAAAAAUUGUUAAUUAAAAC